rnacentral:rRNA from 1 species
CUACAGGCUUAACACAUGCAAGUCGAGGGGCAGCAUGGUCUUAGCUUGCUAAGGCCGAUGGCGACCGGCGCACGGGUGAGUAACACGUAUCCAACCUGCCGUCUACUCUUGGACAGCCUUCUGAAAGGAAGAUUAAUACAAGAUGGCAUCAUGAGUCCGCAUGUUCACAUGAUUAAAGGUAUUCCGGUAGACGAUGGGGAUGCGUUCCAUUAGAUAGUAGGCGGGGUAACGGCCCACCUAGUCUUCGAUGGAUAGGGGUUCUGAGAGGAAGGUCCCCCACAUUGGAACUGAGACACGGUCCAAACUCCUACGGGAGGCAGCAGUGAGGAAUAUUGGUCAAUGGGCGAGAGCCUGAACCAGCCAAGUAGCGUGAAGGAUGACUGCCCUAUGGGUUGUAAACUUCUUUUAUAAAGGAAUAAAGUCGGGUAUGCAUACCCGUUUGCAUGUACUUUAUGAAUAAGGAUCGGCUAACUCCGUGCCAGCAGCCGCGGUAAUACGGAGGAUCCGAGCGUUAUCCGGAUUUAUUGGGUUUAAAGGGAGCGUAGAUGGAUGUUUAAGUCAGUUGUGAAAGUUUGCGGCUCAACCGUAAAAUUGCAGUUGAUACUGGAUAUCUUGAGUGCAGUUGAGGCAGGCGGAAUUCGUGGUGUAGCGGUGAAAUGCUUAGAUAUCACGAAGAACUCCGAUUGCGAAGGCAGCCUGCUAAGCUGCAACUGACAUUGAGGCUCGAAAGUGUGGGUAUCAAACAGGAUUAGAUACCCUGGUAGUCCACACGGUAAACGAUGAAUACUCGCUGUUUGCGAUAUACAGCAAGCGGCCAAGCGAAAGCGUUAAGUAUUCCACCUGGGGAGUACGCCGGCAACGGUGAAACUCAAAGGAAUUGACGGGGGCCCGCACAAGCGGAGGAACAUGUGGUUUAAUUCGAUGAUACGCGAGGAACCUUACCCGGGCUUAAAUUGCAGAUGAAUUACGGUGAAAGCCGUAAGCCGCAAGGCAUCUGUGAAGGUGCUGCAUGGUUGUCGUCAGCUCGUGCCGUGAGGUGUCGGCUUAAGUGCCAUAACGAGCGCAACCCUUGUUGUCAGUUACUAACAGGUUCCGCUGAGGACUCUGACAAGACUGCCAUCGUAAGAUGUGAGGAAGGUGGGGAUGACGUCAAAUCAGCACGGCCCUUACGUCCGGGGCUACACACGUGUUACAAUGGGGGGGUACAGAGGGCCGCUACCACGCGAGUGGAUGCCAAUCCCAAAAACCUCUCUCAGUUCGGACUGGAGUCUGCAACCCGACUCCACGAAGCUGGAUUCGCUAGUAAUCGCGCAUCAGCCACGGCGCGGUGAAUACGUUCCCGGGCCUUGUACACACCGCCCGUCAAGCCAUGGGAGCCGGGGGUACCUGAAGUGCGUAACCGCGAGGAGCGCCCUAGGGUAAAACUGGUGACUGGGGCUAAGUCAUAA